GAUGAGACAAGAUAUUGAGUUUCCUGGAAAAGCCACUCCCUUCUGAGUUUCAGGCCGAGAGAGAGUGUCAGCCACUAAUUGCCACCGUAUAGGCCAGGAUUCUGCUCUCCUGCCUGGCUGGCCCUGUCCCACGGCCCCCUGUCCCACUGUCCUGCUGGAGAGGGCCUGCGGGGUCAGGGAAUGGUACCACUUCGCAUUCUGUGGGGCUGGAUUCUCACGGCUGCCAUGAGAACAGAUGCCACUGCAAGCUUCGUGGAGCAAAGGCCCACAUGGGCCCUGGUACGUCGCGGACAGGCUGAAACCUUGCGCUGCUUCCUGAAGAAUUCCCAGUACCCCUGGAUGAGCUGGUACCAACAGGAUACCCAGGGGCAACUCCAGAUGCUGGCCACUCUGCGGAAUCCUAGGGAAAAGCAGGCCAUAUCCCUUUCCGGAGCAGAUUACCAGGCCGAGCGGGUCGAUGACACCGAGCUGAGGCUGCAUGUGGCCAAUGUGACGCAGGGCAGAACCCUGUAUUGCGCCUGCAAUCCUCCUUUCUGGCGGCUUUACUGCAAGUAG